UACAGGGGGGGCAAGCGUUGUUCGGAAUUACUGGGCGUAAAGGGUCAGUAGGCGGCCAACUAAGUCCGACGUGAAAUCCCAAAGCUUAACUUUGGAACUGCGUCGGAUACUGGAUGGCUUGAAUUCGGGAGAGGGAUGCAGAAUUCCAGGUGUAGCGGUGAAAUGCGUAGAUAUCAGGAAGAACACCCGUGGCGAAGGCGGCUCUCUGGGACGGUACUGACGCUGAGACGCGAAAGCGUGGGGAGCGAACAGG
rnacentral:rRNA from 1 species